UGGGGAAUAUUGCACAAUGGGCGCAAGCCUGAUGCAGCCAUGCCGCGUGUAUGAAGAAGGCCUUCGGGUUGUAAAGUACUUUCAGCGGGGAGGAAGGGAGUAAAGUUAAUACCUUUGCUCAUUGACGUUACCCGCAGAAGAAGCACCGGCUAACUCCGUGCCAGCAGCCGCGGUAAUACGGAGGGUGCAAGCGUUAAUCGGAAUUACUGGGCGUAAAGCGCACGCAGGCGGUUUGUUAAGUCAGAUGUGAAAUCCCCGGGCUCAACCUGGGAACUGCAUCUGAUACUGGCAAGCUUGAGUCUCGUAGAGGGGGGUGGAAUUCCAGGUGUAGCGGUGAAAUGCGUAGAGAUCUGGAGGAAUACCGGUGGCGAAGGCGGCCCCCUGGACGAAGACUGACGCUCAGGUGCGAAAGCGUGGGGAGCAAACAGG
rnacentral:rRNA from 1 species